AGUGAACGCUGGCGGUAGGCCUAACACAUGCAAGUCGAACGGCAGCACAGUAAGAGCUUGCUAUUACGGGUGGCGAGUGGCGGACGGGUGAGGAAUACAUCGGAAUCUACUUUUUCGUGGGGGAUAACGUAGGGAAACUUACGCUAAUACCGCAUACGACCUACGGGUGAAAGCGGGGGAUCUUCGGACCUUGCGCGAUUGAAUGCGCCGAUGUGGGAUUAGCUAGUUGGGGGGGUAAAGGCCCACCAAGGCGAGGAUCCGUAGACCGACUGAGAGAAUGGUCGCCCACACUAGAGGUGGGCCACGGUCCUGAGUCCUACGAGAGGGAGCAGUGGGCAACAGUAGGCAGUGGGGGCAAGCCUGACCCAGCCAGCCGGCGUGGGUGAAGAAGGCGCUCGGGUUGGGAAGCCCUUUUGUGGGGAAAGAAAAGCAGCAGCUUAAUACGCAGCUGUUCUGACGGUAACCAAAGAAGAAGCACCGGCUAACUUCGUG
rnacentral:rRNA from 1 species